CUCUCUCUCAUAAAUAAAUAAAUGGUAGAUUACAUUGACUCUGUUACAGCUGGUGAACCUGCAUCCAAAUCAAGACACCCCCAACACCUGACGAGACAAUAGGAAAGCCCCCUGAGCCCCAAACUUCCAGCGAGGAGCAACUGAACAUCUCAGUGCCGAGACCGUCAAGCCCUUGUUCAGUGUGCACAGCAGCCAUCUGUCGAUGGUGGCACAUCACGUGUCCAUGCAGCGCUGAAUCCCCGGGAAGAGGCUUCGUCCCAGAAACCCGGAACGUUUGAGUGUUGCGGAGGAAGCACAGAGGCCGCGUUCCGGGCCAGCAGAGUGGAGUCACAUGAUCGUACAGAAGCCAGACUUGGCCUCUUCCCCUCCCCCGGGGACCCACCUAUCGACUUGGGGGCCACUGGGGACCAGAAAGCCAGGAUGCUCCAUUCGGAGGGGGCCUUGGCCUCCGAGCGGGAGAUGGGCCCCGGAUC